CCUACGGGAGGCAGCAGUGAGGAAUAUUGGUCAAUGGCCGGAAGGCUGAACCAGCCAUGCCGCGUGAAGGUCAGUGCCCUAUGGGCGUUAAACUUCUUUUGUGCGGGAGCAAUAAUGGUCACGUGUGGCCAGACGAGAGUACCGCACGAAUAAGCAUCGGCUAACUCCGUUCCAGCCGCCGCGGUAAUACGGGGGAUGCAAGCGUUAUCCGGAUUUAUUGGGUUUUAAGGGUUCGCAGGCGGCGGGCCAAGUCAGCGGUAAAAUGUCGGGGCGCAACCCCGGCCGGCCGGUGAAACUGGCGUGCUCGAGUUGGAGAGAAGUAUGCGGAAUGCGUGGUGUAGCGGUGAAAUGCAUAGAUAUCACGAAGAACCCCGAUUGCGAAGGCAGCAUACCGGCUCCACACUGACGCUGAGGCACGAAAGCGUGGGUAUCGAACAGGAUUAGAUACCCCAGUAGUC
rnacentral:rRNA from 1 species